CCUACGGGAGGCAGCAGUGGGGAAUAUUGCACAAUGGGCGCAACCCUGACGCAGCAACGCCGCGUGAGGGAAGAAGGAUUUCGGUAUGUAAAGCUCUAUUAGCAGGGAAGAAAAGGACGGUACAUGACUAGGAAGCCCCGGCUAACUACGGGCCAGCAGCCGCGGUAAUACGCAGGGGGCAAGCGUUAUCCGGAUUUACUGGGUGUAAAGGGAGCGUAGACGGCAGCGCAAGUGUGGAGUGAAAUCCCAGGGCUUAACCCGGGAACUGCUUUUGAAACUGUGCAGCUAGAGUGCAGGAGAGGUAAGCGGAAUUCCUUGUGUAGCGGUGAAAUGCGUAGAUAUUAGGAAGAACACCAGUGGCGAAGGCGGCUUACUGGACUGUAACUGACGUUGAGGCUCGAAAGCGUGGGGAGCAAACAGGAUUAGAUACCCCUGUAGUC
rnacentral:rRNA from 1 species